AAACCCGGGAAACUGGGUAUAAUACCCGAUAGUCCUCGACUGCUGGAAUGCAUCGAGGACUAAAGCUCCGGCGCCUAAGGAUGGGUCUGCGGCCUAUCAGGUAGUAGUGGGUGUAGCGUACCUACUAGCCUACGACGGGUACGGGUUGUAGAGCAAGAGCCCGGAGAUGGAUUCUGAGACACGAAUCCAGGCCCUACGGGGUGCAGCAGGCGCGAAAACUUUACAAUGCUGGAAACAGCGAUAAGGGGACCUCGAGUGCCAGGUUACAAAUCUGGCUGUCGUGAUGCCUAAAAAGCAUUGCAUAGCAAGGGCCGGGCAAGACCGGUGCCAGCCGCCGCGGUAACACCGGCGGCUCGAGUGGUAACCGUUAUUAUUGGGUCUAAAGGGUCUGUAGCCGGCCGGAUAAGUCUCUUGGGAAAUCUGGCAGCUUAACUGUCAGGCUUUCAGGAGAUACUGUCUGGCUCGAGGCCGGGAGAGGUGAGAGGUACUUCAGGGGUAGGGGUGAAAUCUUGUAAUCCUUGAAGGACCACCAGUGGCGAAGGCGUCUCACCAGAACGGACCUGACGGCAAGGGACGAAAGCUAGGGGCACGAACCGGAUUAGAUACCCGGGUAGUCCUAGCCGUAAACGAUACUCGCUAGGUGUCGGCCACGGUGCGACCGUUGUCGGUGCCGUAGGGAAGCCGUGAAGCGAGCCACCUGGGAAGUACGGCCGCAAGGCUGAAACUUAAAGGAAUUGGCGGGGGAGCA
rnacentral:rRNA from 1 species